CAGUAGCCGCGGGAAUACGGAGGGGGCUAGCGUUAAUCGGAAUUACUGGGCGUAAAGCGUGCGCAGGCGGUUCGUUAAGACAGAUGUGAAAUCCCCGGGCUUAACCUGGGAACUGCAUUUGUGACUGGCGAGCUAGAGUAUGGCAGAGGGGGGUAGAAUUCCACGUGUAGCAGUGAAAUGCGUAGAGAUGUGGAGGAAUACCGAUGGCGAAGGCAGCCCCCUGGGCCAAUACUGACGCUCAUGCACGAAAGCGUGGGGAGCAAACAGGAUUAGAUACCCCGGUAGUCCCUGUCUCUUAUAC
rnacentral:rRNA from 1 species